UGUUAGGAUAAGUGGGUGCACCUGGUGCCCAUCCCCAAAGCACCUGGGACGGGGUUUAUAAAGGUGUGGCUCAUUCUGGGUAGCUCUUUGUGCUCCUGUCCUUCUACCUGUUUGUGGAAAACAGCCAGUCCUUCCUGAUGGAACAGGUCGUCCUGUGUUCCCAAGGAGUUCCUUGGGCUGCUGUGAGUGCUGCUGUCCCUGCUGGGGUUAGGGAGAUUCCCUCUGUCCAUAGCAGGACUGGUCCCUGCAGAGAAAAAGAAAAUUGCGUGACAAAGAUCAGCCACCUCUGACAUGAAAUGCAGAUUUCAAACAUUGCACUUCAAUGGAAAAUGAUCAUUUGGCAAAAGGAAUUUUCUUAUCUCAGAAGCAAGGAAAAGUCUGUGAAGCCUCUCUUCAAAGCUUUCUCUUUUGGAAUUGUCAUGCUAAAGGAGGAUUUAAUUAAUGCUCUGUAUGUGCAUUUCCAAUGGAAAUGGUCACACUUGGAGAAGAGAGGGAGGAAGGAAAGACCCUCUUGCUUUGCUUUCCACAGUUAAUUUGGAGAACUCUUCUUUGGCUGUGGUCCCUGAUAUCUCCCAUGGCCGCAGUCUCAACACUGAAAAUAUCUAUGCAGCAUUCUCAUGGGUGGCAACUGGUCUUCUAGAGCACUUCAAGAAAAAAAACUUCAAGUAGAAAAGCUUUUUUUCAUAUUUCCCAAAUUCAUGUGUGCUUUUCAAGUCUUAGUUUUCAAAAAAUGUCCUUUUUUAUGUGUUCUUUUAAAAUCAUAGUUUAAAAAAAAUUGCCUUUUUGGAUGUUUUUGUCAGGUCACAGGUCUGUGUAUAGUAUUACAGUAAAACAAGUCUGUGACUGACAGACCCUAGUGUGACAUGCAAAUGUACUUAUACCAUGUGUUCUUUACAUUUUCCUGAGUGUACAGGCAUAUUUUUCCUCAAAAUUUUGAAAAAACCCUCCAUUCUCCUUCUCUGUGUCUCAGAGAGGGGACUGUUCUAUUCUGGAAGAUUUUUAUGAUUAAAUACAUAAGCAGAGAUAUAGGUAGCUGAUAGGGGUAGCAUGGAUAUAAGUGGGUCAUGGAAAACUGUUUUCCCAGUCUCUUUUGUCUCUUUUCCAAACAGUGUCUAUGGGAACAGGGAGCUUAAUGAGCUGGUUGUGACACAGGAUGCGUGGGCAGACCUUGCUGUUAUCUGUUUGGUUCUGGAGAAACACUCAAUCACAAUUGAAUGCAAGAAUUGGCAUUGGAAAUUUGGCAGAAAGCAAUACUGUCCUAAUGGCAAGAUUUAAAAUGAAUAUUUCAAUUUUGGUGCCAGAAUAUAGUAACUAGUGGAUGAAAUUGCUCAUAAAGCAUUCAGCAGCCUCAUUAAGAUGGGUCAUAUUGUCUGCAGGCAGGAGUAGUCUUGGAAGAUGAAUCUUUCUCUGUCCUUAGAACUGUUGUUUAAAGAACAAAAUCCAGCAUCUGGUACUAAUUUAAAGCCUUGUCCAUGCUGUAGAAUUAGAGUCUUAGCCAAUUAUUUGAAAGUUUUCAUUUUGGUUUCUAAUGGGUAAUGGUACAGCUCAUAGAUGUCUUAGUAAUUUAGGUGCGUACCACAAAGCCUGAGGUAAUUGAGCCAGUUCUGUAAACGUGUGCUUACCUUUAGGGCUAUGAGUAGCAAAAUGAACUGGAAUGGGAUUACUUUACUUUGGUGGUAAACACUCUUUCUCCCUAAUUUGUGCUGAAAUAAUAAUCUUGUCAGUUACACAGUUAGUAAAAAUACUUCUAGUAAUUUUGCUUUAUUGGCAUGAACAAAAAGAAAAUGCAUUUUUUUGGUGAUGAAAAAGCAAAACAGGGACUGUUAUACCAUACUAUCUCUUAUAUAGCCUAUCCAUGUAAGUUUUAAAUGCAAAGGUUAUUUAUCUGAAAACCUAAUGUGCCCUGUCCUGAGGAAUCUAAGUUCAUAGCCUUCUCUUGCUGCCAGUGUCAUGUUGCUCCAUGGAGAAGUCUCUGGCGGUGAGUUUAAACAAUUUCUUUUCUUUGCUAACUUUCCCGCAUAGUCAUGGAUCACUCUCCUAAAACCAAUAAUAGAAAUUGAAUAUGUAUGAGAUGCCUGUUCGUCCCUUUUGCAGUGAGUUGUACAAGCAGAAUCCAUUGAUAUCUGGAGAGCAUCAAAAUUAAUACGAGAAAAGCUCGGUUAAAAUGUUUACUUAAAAAUAUUUCAGCAGCUUUUUACUGAGCUGCCUCGCGGUCCCGCUGCAGCGCGAGCAGGGCUCUUGCACGCGCAUUGAGAUGUCAUGCUGAGCUCUGCUGCAACGUUCUGGGGCUGCCUCAGAACCCCGUGCUGCUAUUAGAGCUGAAAACAUGUAAUGUGUUAUUUGGUUUGAAACCAUAAAAAUGAUUUUUGUUUGUCAUGCUCUGCUCUGCAUGGUCUCAAGGUACUUUGCUGUUUAACUCGAAUUUCAAAUCCUUAUGGCAUGUGGUAGAAAUGUUACAGUCGUGGGGUUUUUUUCUCUCUUCUUCUUUUUCUUAUCUACAUAAACAACAUAACUUUGUCAGAAAAUUGAAAAUGUGCACUUUGUCCCAUCAGCUAAAAUGGGCUGUCAGAUAACGCCUUUUUUUCUCCAUUGCAUCAGAUGAAUGAUGUAAAUGGUUUUUGGCUUUGGAGUUUUUUGCAAGGCACUAGAGUAAAUGAUCAGAGUAGUAACAUUUUUAACCUUAUCUAUCAUACUGAAACAUUUUUUCUGCCUCCAAUAAAACAUGUCAGAGUCGAUUAAGGACAUUCUUCAAUGAGGUAUAAUUCACAGAUUUUAGUAGCGAAUCCAAGAGCACUGAAGUAUUAAAGAGGCUGUGAAUACUUAAUUACGGAUAUGUUGCCAUCCUACCUUUUACUGAAUUCCCUUAACACUUUGGUGCUCUGUAUCUGAAAAUGCUCUUUUCCUCUGAUGGUGAAGUAAAAGGAAAAGCCAGGUACAAUGGCAGAGCAUAUGUCACAUUGUAUCUAGUGACAGAGCCGUGAGAGAUACUGCUGUUCUAGUACAUUCAGCUGUGCUUAUCUGGUACAUGAGUGCACAUUACUUUCCAUGGGCUUGGAUCACUUUGGACAGUA